GAAUCUUGGACAAUGGGCGCAAGCCUGAUCCAGCCAUGCCGCGUGAGUGAUGAAGGCCUUAGGGUUGUAAAACUCUUUCGUCGGGGACGAUAAUGACGGUACCCGAAGAAGAAGCCCCGGCUAACUUCGUGCCCGCAGCCGCGGUAAUACGAAGGGGGCUAGCGUUGUUCGGAUUUACUGGGCGUAAAGCGCGUGUAGGCGGGCUGGUAAGUUGGGGGUGAAAUCCCGAGGCUCAACCUCGGAACUGCCUCCAAAACUGUCAGCCUGGACUCAAGUAGAGGCAAGUGGAAUUGCGAGUGUAGAGGUGAAAUUCGUAGAUAUUCGCAGGAACACCAGUGGCGAAGGCGACUUGCUGGACUUGUAGUGACGCUGAGACGCGAAAGCGUGGGGAGCAAACAGG
rnacentral:rRNA from 1 species